CGCCUCUUGCUUACUAAAAAUAAGAGGUCCCGCCUGCCCUGUGACCAUGAGUUUAACGGCCGCGGUAUUUUGACCGUGCAAAGGUAGCGCAAUCACUUGUCUUUUAAAUGAAGACCCGUAUGAAUGGCAUAACGAGGGCUUAACUGUCUCCCUUUUCCAGUCAAUGAAAUUGAUCUCCCCGUGCAGAAGCGGGGAUCCCCACAUAAGACGAGAAGACCCUAUGGAGCUUUAGACAAAAGACAGCCCAUGUCAAACACCCCUAAACAAAGGACAAAACUAAUUGGCCCCUGUCCUAAUGUCUUUGGUUGGGGCGACCGCGGGGAAACAAAAAACCCCCAUGUGGACUGAAGGCACCCUUCUUCACAACCAAGAGCCACAGCUCUAAGUAACAGAACAUCUGACCAACAAGAUCCGGAAUAAUAACCGAUCAACGGACCGAGUUACCCUAGGGAUAACAGCGCAAUCUCCUUCUAGAGCCCAUAUCGACAAGGAGGUUUACGACCUCGAUGUUGGAUCAGGACAUCCUAAUGGUGCAGCCGCUAUUAAGGGUUCGUUUGUUCAACGAUUAAAGUCCU
rnacentral:rRNA from 1 species